rnacentral:lncRNA from 1 species
CUAAGACAACACCUGUUUUCUACCAUUGGGUCAAGGUAUGCCAGACUGAACUCUGCCUAGGCAGACAUUGGUGUUUUCUUUUUAAAAGUUUACUUCCAGACUGGCAGUGCAAUUGACACAUGGCCAGAUGUUUUAUCCUGCUGUGUUAAGUCAUCUUGACAUGUUGCCAUGAAAUGGAAACAACUGCUCGUUUUAAUAUUGCUCCAUAUCUUUAUUACAAGUGGACCUGUGUGCUUGCAUUAUGUGAAAAAGAGGAACCUCUGCUGGACUGCAGUGGCUGCUGCAGGAGUGAUGGGGUCUGCAGGUACUCUGACUGAAGACACAUGGCCCAGCAUCUUCUCUAUUCAUACCUCAUCAAAAGCAUGAAUUCACAUCUGGAUGCAGCACCUGGGGAGGAGCAUCGACAAAGAGGCCCAUGUUCAGAAUCAUUUCCCUAUCUGUAUCAUGAAAGUGACAAUCCCUAUGUUAUAUAGUUUCUGGAAAGAACA